CCACCAGCAGGUUUUGCCAAAAUCAAUGUUGAUGCCGGCGUCGCACGGCACAAUAGGGGAGGAACGGCGGCGGCAAUCUGCAGGGAUGAUAGUGGCAGUUACUUGGGCAGCUCAACAUUGGUAAUCCCGGGGGUUUGUGAUGUGGUGACACUGGAAGCAAUCGCUUGCAGGGAAGCACUAGCGCUGGCUGAAGAUCUGCACAUUCAUGAGUUCAUCAUAGCUUCAGAUUCAAGACAAGCGAUCAACGACAUAAACAAUAGCUACAGAGGAAAGUAUGGCGCGAUUAAUUUUUAG
rnacentral:rRNA from 1 species